AUAUAAUAAGCACUUAUUCAAAUUGUUUGAUCCAAGUUUUUGAUUCAAAGGGCAGGAAACCAUCUGAUUCAAAUUGUUUGAUCAAGUUUUUGAUUCGGUUUUUAUUGCAUUGGGAGAUUAUUCGGUUGCUUUUAUUGUAUCAUUAAUUUGUCCUUUUAGUCCGUUUGACAGCUUUGAAGAUUUCAGUUUUGAAAUUUUUUCUCUUUUACUGGUUCUGCUACUUUUGAUAUACUUUGGUUUCUGAUUGGGUUUUUUUUUUUUUUUUUUUUGUUUGUCCUUAUGGUUCAUCGUCAAUUGAUAUAGAUCUUUACAGUUUAGAAACGACGUACGAUGUACUUGAUACUUGCUUGAAACGAAUAAUGUUCUGAAAACUGGGAAAGAAAAAUAAUAGUAGCGAUUCAUCAAAAUUUAAGAUAGAGAGGGUGAAGUCAUGAUCUAAUCAGUCAAUUGCACCAUUAUAUUUGAGCAUGUUGUAGGACCCUUUUCAUAGUGCUGGGUGUUCAAACUGCCAUCCACUUUGAUUCUGGUUUCAUGGUUGAACCAGAUCUAAAUGGCCGCCAGGUGUUCUGGUUAUUAGGGGCUAGCGAAAUCAGAUCUCAAAAUCAUUUCUUCCAGACUAUCAAGAAGAGUGUCGAAAGUUGAGGCUUUGAGGCGAUACUGUCGUAUUUGUCAUUAAAAAUUUUUCAGAAGAAAGAAAAACGAUAGAAGCUCUUGCGUUGUUGGGAUCGGGGGAAGAGAAUAAGAGGUUUUUCCUCGGAGUCUUUAUAAAAGGUCAAGCACUGAGAUACAAAAGAGAAGUGGGCAACCGAGUCUGCGUUCCUUUUGGAAAAGGUACACAGCAAUAUUUUGAUUUCUGAGAUUGAUUGGAACAAGUUAAGUAUCGUUAUCUUGAUACCUUUGUUCUUUCCUUUUGUUAAUUAAAGAUCAUCUAAUUGAAUUCUUUGUAUAUGAAACUUGAUUUCAUUUUGUAGUGUCUAUUUUUGUAGCUUUUGAAUAACUACAGGACCCAAACCUUUUUUGCAAAACUCAAAAUUCAGAAGGUUUACAAGAGUUAUCAAACCUGAAGAAACCUUGCAGAUUGUGCUGUGGAGGCUGAGGAGUGGUUUAGGUGGAAAUACAGAUUAGAUUCUCCACCUUAGACUGAAGAGCUAUGGUGGAAAUCUUUCGAUUCUGCAGCUCUCAAGUACAGUUUAUCUCAUUCUCUGAUGUUGAGUACCUGGAAUCUGCCAUUUUCCGGUGGGCAAAGGGUUAGGACUAGGCUGCAAAGAUUCGAAAAGGUUUGUUUGAGGAUGAGAAAGCACACAAAGUUAAUUCUUCAACAUUGGCUUGAAGCUAUUGAUCCACACCAUCAGUAUGGACACAAUUUACACAUGAACUACGAUUUAUGAUUUAAAAGUGAGAGCAGCCAGCCUUUCUUCUACUGACGGAUACUCAUCUGAAUUGUGGGAAGGCACUACUGGAAAUGCUAUUAUGUAUUUAUGUCCCCCUGCCAUCAUAUGUUGCAAAAGACUUGGGACUAUGUUCAAAAGCCGUGAUGGGUCCUGCUGGAAUCUGUUUGCUGUGUUUUUGAACAUUUGGUGGAACUAUGGGCUUAUUUGGGAAGAGAAAUGAUUGAAGAAUGUCACUGUGUUAUGUUUGUGUACUGGUAGCUUCUUCUUCUUUUUGAGGCAAGCGACAUUUUACAUUGGAGGAUCAGUGAGCAGCUUUCUUGCCUCCUCUAAGCUGAAAUACAUGCAUUCAUUUUAGGCCAAUUCUUGAAAGUAUCCCUUGCAGUAUCUUAGAAGCUUUCUUUUGCACCACUGACUCUUUGUAAACAUGAAACUUGUGACAACCAGUUCUAGCCAACCUCAGCAGCGCACAACCAAGGACAGCUUCGAGGAGCUAAUGUAAAAACUGUUGAAUCAGAAUAGAAAUGUUAUACAUUUUUGUUCAGACGUUGGUUAGAAUAGCAAUUUUUUGAGAAAUGUAAAUAGACAAGGAUGGUUACUGCACUGAUUCUACUUAGAAUUUCGAGUUUUGAAAUAUGUAAAUAUACACAACUGACUCAUGAAAUAAAACCAAAUCCGCAGCAUCGCACGGGAGAGGUUGCUAGUGUUA